GACGGGGACCUGCGAAGGAAUAUUACAACAACGCCCGGGCUUCGGCGGGGGUUAUUCAUAACCCUUUGUUGUCCGACUCUGUUGCCUCCGGGGCGACCCUGCCUUCGGGCGGGGGCUCCGGGUGGACACUUCAAACUCUUGCGUAACUUUGCAGUCUGAGUAAACUUAAUUAAUAAAUUAAAACUUUUAACAACGGAUCUCUUGGUUCUGGCAUCGAUGAAGAACGCAGCGAAAUGCGAUAAGUAAUGUGAAUUGCAGAAUUCAGUGAAUCAUCGAAUCUUUGAACGCACAUUGCGCCCCCUGGUAUUCCGGGGGGCAUGCCUGUUCGAGCGUCAUUUCACCACUCAAGCCUCGCUUGGUAUUGGGCAACGCGGUCCGCCGCGUGCCUCAAAUCGUCCGGCUGGGUCUUCUGUCCCCUAAGCGUUGUGGAAACUAUUCGCUAAAGGGUGUUCGGGAGGCUACGCCGUAAAACAACCCCAUUUCUAAGGUUGACCUCGGAUCAGGUAGGGAUACCCGCUGAACUUAAGCAUAUCAAUAAGCCGGAGG
rnacentral:rRNA from 1 species